GAUGAACGCUGGCGGCGUGCCUAAUACAUGCAAGUCGAGCGAACAGACGAUGAGCUUGCUCCUCUGACGUUAGCGGCGGACGGGUGAGUAACACGUGGAUAACCUACCUAUAAGACUGGGAUAACUUCGGGAAACCGGAGCUAAUACCGGAUAAUAUAUUGAACCGCAUGGUUCAAUAGUGAAAGACGGUUUUGCUGUCACUUAUAGAUGGAUCCGCGCCGCAUUAGCUAGUUGGUAAGGUAACGGCUUACCAAGGCAACGAUGCGUAGCCGACCUGAGAGGGUGAUCGGCCACACUGGAACUGAGACACGGUCCAGACUCCUACGGGAGGCAGCAGUAGGGAAUCUUCCGCAAUGGGCGAAAGCCUGACGGAGCAACGCCGCGUGGGUGAUGAAGGUCUUCGGAUCGUAAAACUCUGUUAUUAGGGAAGAACAAAUGUGUAAGUAACUAUGCACGUCUUGACGGUACCUAAUCAGAAAGCCACGGCUAACUACGUG
rnacentral:rRNA from 1 species